GGAGCUCUGGCUGUGACUUGUG
rnacentral:miRNA from 1 species